rnacentral:rRNA from 1 species
AUGCACGUAGUUGCAAAGAUCUUUGACAAAGUGCUUGCGUGCCGCCUAGCGGUGGAGCUGCCGCAUUUGGUUGGCAUUCACCAAAGCGCGUUCGUCAAAGGGAGAGCACUGCACGAUAACUUCAUGCUGGUCCAGAGCACCGCAAGACGGCUGCAUGCGCUACGGCAACCUGCAAUACUGCUUAAGCUGAAUAUUUCAAAGGCCUUUGAUACACUACACUGGUCUUUCUUGAUCGAAGUUCUCCAAGCUUUUGGAUUUGGUAGUAGGUGGCAGGAUUGGAUCGCGGGACUACAUGCUACCUCAUCUACCCACAUCAUGGUGAACAGCGUACCUGGGACUCCAAUCUUCAACUGCAAAGGCCUGCCGCAAGGUGGACCUCAUUCCCCUAUGCUCUUCAUCCUCAUGAUGGAG